GGUUGUGUAGUGUAGUGGUAAUCACUCCAGAUUUUGAUUCUGGUAACCCCGGUUCGAACCCGGGCACGACCU
rnacentral:tRNA from 1 species